CCUACGGGAGGCUGCAGUGAGGAAUAUUGGUCAAUGGACGAGAGUCUGAACCAGCCAAGUAGCGUGAAGGAUGACUGCUCUAUGGGUUGUAAACUUCUUUUAUAUGGGAAUAAAACGUUCCACGUGUGGGAUUUUGUAUGUACCAUAUGAAUAAGGAUCGGCUAACUCCGUGCCAGCAGCCGCGGUAAUACGGAGGAUCCGAGCGUUAUCCGGAUUUAUUGGGUUUAAAGGGAGCGUAGGUGGAUUGUUAAGUCAGUUGUGAAAGGUUGCGGCUCAACCGUAAAAUUGCAGUUGAAACUGGCAGUCUUGAGUACAGGAGAGGUGAGCGGAAUUCGUGGUGUAGCGGUGAAAUGCUUUGAUAUCACGAAGAACUCCGAUGGCGAAGGCAGUUCACUGGACUGCAACUGACACUGAGGCUCGAAAGUGUGGGUAUCAAACAGGAUUAGAUACCCGAGUAGUC
rnacentral:rRNA from 1 species